UGGGUCAUUUGGUAGAGCAUGGCACUUGUAAUGCCAAGGUUGUGGGUUCAAUUCCCAC
rnacentral:tRNA from 1 species